GACGAACGCUGGCGGCGUGCUUAACACAUGCAAGUCGAACGGAGCGGCGAACGGGAGAGUAAAGCGUGAGUAACUGCCCACCUCCCGGGGAUAAAAGUUGGCAACUGCUGCAAAUACCGGAUAGGAGGGGAUGACUCGCGUGCUAUCAGCUUGUGGGUGGGGUAGUGGCCUACCAAGGCGACGACGGGUAGCCGGCCUGAGAGGGCGACCGGCCACCUGGGUCUGAGUUACGGCCCAGGCGCGUACAGGGGGCAGCAGGGGGGAAUAUUGCGCAGUGGGGGACCCCCUGAUGCAGCAACCCGCGUGCGGGAUGACUGCCUUCGGGUUGUAAACCGCUUUCAGCCAUGACCCGGUACUGGCAGAAGAAGCACCGGCUAACUACGUGCCAGCAGCCGCGGUAAUUC
rnacentral:rRNA from 1 species